AUUAAAGCUGUCUCUUUUUCAAACAUAAAAAUUGUCUUAUAGGUGCAGAGACCUAUAUAUUAAUAAAAGACAAAAAGACCCUAUUGAGCUUUAUUUGUAUCAGGUUUUUAUGGAUAGUUUACUUUAUUACUGUAAUAAAUUUGGUUGGGGCGACAUAGAAAUAUAAAAAUCUUUCUUUGAAUUUUAGAAUUAUAAUUCUGUUAAAUGAUCUAUAUUUUAGAAAAGAGAAAUAGUUACCAUAGGGAUAACAGGCUAAUUCUUUUGGAGAGUUCAAAUUGAUAAAAGAGUUUGGCACCUCGAUGUUGGCUUAAGGUAUCCUAUAGGUGUAGCAGCUUAUAAGGGUUGGUUUGUUCAACCAUUAAAAUCUU
rnacentral:rRNA from 1 species